UUCCAUGUUGUAUGUAGUACUUUGCCUCUCAUAACAUGUUCAAUUAAAUAUCUGUUAAUUCAUAGCUAAUGAUUUUUUUAAUGGGGCCUCGUUCUUCUGCCACAAGUGCAUCCCACCUUUAUCUUUCAGGGAAGAGGUUGGUUGCACGUUGUUAGGCCAAGAGACUGGCCCUCCAUUAUGCCCUAUGCUGGACUUGCUUUGUCGGUCCAUUCAUUGAUGUCCUGUUGAAUCAAAAGGUAUUGUUUUAGUAGAAGUUACAUGAAGUAUAUUCAUUUAUCACUUGCUAAACAUAGGCCUUGCUCUGUUUAAUAAAUAAUGGGUGUCUCUUUCAAGAUUUUAGGAUAGGCCUUUUUAACAGAGCAGAAUCUUCUGUUAAAGUUCUCACAAACAGACCAACUCCCAAGAGAGAUGGGCUGGUGGGUCACUGACAUAAAGCAGUCCACAAGAUCUAUUUUAGAAAAGUAUCAAUGACAUUUCCUUAGUUGGUUUGAUUCUCUUGAGAAUACAUGAGUUUAAAAGAACUGAGGUCAAAUUGCUUUAUGUGGAAAGCAAUAAAAACAAGUAUUUUUGACUUGCAAAUUAGAGGUAACUGUAAGCAAUUUUUGCUAUUGAAGCCUAUGGCCCAAAUUAUUCCACCUGCAAAAUAACUUUCACCCUUGCAAGGCUGAUAGACGGCUCUUCAUUGGUCUUUUUUUAUGGUUUUGUUUUGUUUUUUUAAGUCAUUGGUCUUAAAUCUGUAUGGUGACAAAUCUAUUUGAGUUUGAUUGAGACUUUCUUGGACUCCUUUGGACAAGAGGUCAGAGCACAAAGGCUAGUCACCACUUCUUUGACUUCUUGAGGUAUGAGCCAAAAUUUUACUUUUCCAUUGAUUUAAAGCAGAAUUUUUGGAGAUGCUGUGUUCUAGUUCCUGACGGAAUCGGUGGUGGUUGCUGACUUUGACACUUUGGAGAGUGAUGUGGGGAGUUAUAUAGAAGGGGAAACACUAGUUUAGGUGUGAGGAGUUCUAGUAUGCCACAAAUUAGCUGAGACUUUAGACGAAGCACAAUAUUUGAGCAUCAAUCUUCUCAUCUAUGAGAUAGACCUGUCAGGAUUAUUGUGAAAAUUAGAUGAGAUAAGUUGAAAGUACAGUGCUUGGUAAACAGUUAGCACUCAAAUAUUAGUUCUUUUUCACUUUAAUUAAGAGCAGACUUUGAAUGGUCUGAUGCCAAGUGUAGAUCCUUAAGAGACAAAACAAAGAAACUUUCCUGGCUUCAAAGAAAAGAACUCCAUUUCUGAAAGGGUGCCUUAAAAGGAAUUCAUUUGUCUGAUCCAUCCUUUUGCCUUUGGGCAUUACUACUGUCACCCUCCAUUUCUUUACAAACUUCAGGCAAGGUGGUCUCUCUCUCUCUCCCAAUAGGCAAUUCCAGGGUUGUAAACUCAUUAUCAGGAAGCUUAAUCUUAGAACUGAAAUACCUCACAGAGCAAUUUAAACCUCUUUCUUCUUGUUCCUAUUCUUCAUGGGAAGAAAACUGGGUUGAUCCCUAUCUUCUUUUUAAGGAGCCACAUUUGCCAUUUAUUAUUGCUCUUUUGCCUAUUUAAAAAAAAUAACAGUCAGAAAAAAUAAUGAUUAUUAAAAUGAUAGUCAUUAUUUACUUAGUGAAUGUCAGGAUAGGUAUUUAUUACUCUUAGCUUCUUAUUGGUAUCAGAUGUAGAUCACGGUCUUACUGUUGAUUAACUCUUCAGUUAUAUAUACAUACUUUGAUUCUUUAGUUACAUAAUUGAUAACAAAGUGUGCUUCUGAAGAAUUAUUCUGGCUGUAUGGCUCUUGUUUCCUCCCCUUGGUAAAAAUGGAGGCAUGAAUCUCGGUUUUGUGAUCUGCUUUUAAUUUCAUAUAUGACAUUAUUUGAUGUACAUAAUUACCAACAUCCAAAAGCGUUUCUUCCCCUUUCUACGUGUGCACUAAAUUCUAAAACAAAAAUUGGAAUACAAAAUGCCUAAUAAAGAAAAAAUUCAUGUAC
rnacentral:lncRNA from 1 species